rnacentral:rRNA from 1 species
GACGAACGCUGGCGGCGUGCUUAACACAUGCAAGUCGAACGGUAAGGCCCCUUCGGGGGUACACGAGUGGCGAACGGGUGAGUAACACGUGAGCAACCUGCCCUUGACACUGGAAUAACAGUUGGAAACAGCUGCUAAUACCGGGUAUGACCUUUCACCGCAUGGUGGGGGGUGGAAAGCCCUGGCGGUCAAGGAUGGGCUCGCGGCCUAUCAGCUAGUUGGUGAGGUAAUGGCUCACCAAGGCUUCGACGGGUAGCCGGCCUGAGAGGGCGACCGGCCACACUGGGACUGAGAUACGGCCCAGACUCCUACGGGAGGCAGCAGUGGGGAAUAUUGCACAAUGGGCGAAAGCCUGAUGCAGCAACGCCGCGUGCGGGAUGACGGCCUUCGGGUUGUAAACCGCUUUCAGUAGGGACGAAGCUAACGUGACGGUACCUACAGAAGAAGCACCGGCCAACUACGUGCCAGCAGCCGCGGUGAUACGUAGGGUGCGAGCGUUGUCCGGAAUUAUUGGGCGUAAAGGGAUUGUAGGCGGUCCGUCGCGUCGGAAGUGAAACUCAGGGCUUACCCCUGAGCCUGCUUCCGAUACGGGCGGACUAGAGGUAUGCAGGGGAGAACGGAAUUCCUGGUGGAGCGGUGGAAUGCGCAGAUAUCAGGAGGAACACCGGUGGCGAAGGCGGUUCUCUGGGCAUUACCUGACGCUGAGAAUCGAAAGCGUGGGGAGCAAACAGGCUUAGAUACCCUGGUAGUCCACGCCGUAAACGGUGGGCACUAGGCGUGGGGGACAUUCCACGUUCUCCGUGCCGAAGCUAACGCAUUAAGUGCCCCGCCUGGGGAGUACGGCCGCAAGGCUAAAACUCAAAGGAAUUGACGGGGGCCCGCACAAGCGGCGGAGCAUGCGGAUUAAUUCGAUGCAACGCGAAGAACCUUACCUGGGUUUGACAUAUGCCGGAAAGCUGCAGAGAUGUAGCCCCCGCAAGGUCGGUAUACAGGAGGUGCAUGGCUGUCGUCAGCUCGUGUCGUGAGAUGUUGGGUUAAGUCCCGCAACGAGCGCAACCCUCGUCCUAUGUUGCCAGCGGGUAAUGCCGGGGACUCAUAGGAGACUGCCGGGGUCAACUCGGAGGAAGGUGGGGAUGACGUCAAGUCAUCAUGCCCCUUAUGUCCAGGGCUUCACGCAUGCUACAAUGGCUGGUACAAAGGGCUGCGAGACCGCAAGGUUGAGCGAAUCCCAAAAAGCCAGUCUCAGUUCGGAUUGGGGUCUGCAACUCGACCCCAUGAAGUCGGGGUCGCUAGUAAUCGCAGAUCAGCAACGCUGCGGUGAAUACGUUCCCGGGCCU